GAGUUGCGAACGGGUGAGUAACGCGUAGGUAACCUGCCUGGUAGCGGGGGAUAACUAUUGGAAACGAUAGCUAAUACCGCAUAAGAACAUUUACUGCAUGGUAGAUGUUUAAAAGGUGCAAAUGCAUCACUACCAGAUGGACCUGCGUUGUAUUAGCUAGUAGGUGAGGUAACGGCUCACCUAGGCGACGAUACAUAGCCGACCUGAGAGGGUGAUCGGCCACACUGGGACUGAGACACGGCCCAGACUCCUACGGGAGGCAGCAGUAGGGAAUCUUCGGCAAUGGGGGGAACCCUGACCGAGCAACGCCGCGUGAGUGAAGAAGGUUUUCGGAUCGUAAAGCUCUGUUGUUAAGGAAGAACGAGUGUGAGAAUGGAAAGUUCAUACUGUGACGGUACUUAACCAGAAAGGGACGGCUAACUACGUGCCAGCAGCCGCGGUAAUACGUAGGUCCCGAGCGUUGUCCGGAUUUAUUGGGCGUAAAGCGAGCGCAGGCGGUUAGAUAAGUCUGAAGUUAAAGGCAGUGGCUCAACCAUUGUAGGCUUUGGAAACUGUUUAACUUGAGUGCAGAAGGGGAGAGUGGAAUUCCAUGUGUAGCGGUGAAAUGCGUAGAUAUAUGGAGGAACACCGGUGGCGAAAGCGGCUCUCUGGUCUGUAACUGACGCUGAGGCUCGAAAGCGUGGGGAGCGAACAGGAUUAGAUACCCUGGUAGUCCACGCCGUAAACGAUGAGUGCUAGG
rnacentral:rRNA from 1 species